rnacentral:tRNA from 1 species
UGGGGUGUCGCCAAGCGGUAAGGCAUCAGACUCUGACUCUGACAGUACGUGGGUUCGAAUCCUACCACCCCAGCCA